rnacentral:rRNA from 1 species
UACAGAGGGUGCAAGCGUUAAUCGGAAUUACUGGGCGUAAAGCGCGCGUAGGCGGCUUUGCAAGUCGAGUGUGAAAUCCCCAGGCUUAACCUGGGAACUGCAUUCGAGACUGCAUGGCUAGAGUAUGGGAGAGGGAAGUGGAAUUUCAGGUGUAGCGGUGAAAUGCGUAGAUAUCUGAAGGAACAUCAGUGGCGAAAGCGACUUCCUGGACCAAUACUGACGCUCAUGUGCGAAAGCGUGGGGAGCAAACAGG